AAUAAUGAAGAUGUAGUUUCAUUAGACAACAUUCUAUGGUGUCUGCACAGUUUCCUGGAGAAGAUAGAGGAGUUUUUUAAAAUAGGCUCGCAUCUUUCUGCUUUCAUUUCUGACUCUAGAUCAUAGGUUUUAGGGAAAGAGGGAGAAAGUGAACACAAAGGUUCUGUUCUAAUUUAAAUAUUUUUCACAAUUUAGUACUAAUUACUUCUUUUAAGGUUCAAUCACCUUCUAAAUGCUACAUGAUAAAAAGAAGAGAAAAAUAUUACAUGGUUCACAGCCAAGAACAUUAAUAAAAGUACUUUCUCAAGUUUAAUCAUUAUUUUCAUUUUUUAUUUAAAAUUUUUCUUUUUUAUCAUCUCAGUUGCCAAAUUUCAAUCUUCAUUGAUUAAAAACACAGCAGAAUUCCUUGCAUACAAAUUUAUUCAGGUUUGCAAACAUUAAAUCAUCAUUAGAUUAGAAUGACAAGCAUGACAAAAUUAAUACUCCAAAAGAGGUUCAGGGAAAUAUAAAGUCUAGAAUGUAUUGAAUUAGGUUUUAAAUUGAACCCAUACAAGCUUAAGUUCAAUGAAAACUAAUAUUGCACACUUUUUAAUCAAUUAUUUCAUAAUCAUCUCCCUAAAUCCUUUUAAUUUACCAAGAAAUCCUAUCUAAAAAGUUUUCUAAAGUCAGCCUAAAAUACCAUUGAAAUGCAAAUUGGAUCUAAACUUCUACUAAAUCCAUCAAAUGAUACCUUAUUUCAGUUCAUCAAAUAACUCUCUAUGAUUGAAUGUAAAAUAUGUCCUCAGUGCUCAUUAGUGUUACAAUUAAAAUCCAUAUUAUAUGGCAAACAAAAUGACACAAUUAUUUGAAACCAUUAUGAAGCUAAACUCUUUAGAAUAACUUACCAUGUAAGCCACAUGAUGCUAAGCUCAUUUACAACCUUAAAUAUAUUUAGACCUAAUUUCCAAAUCUAACAUUUAGUUGACAGCAACAGUCCUGCCUUUUUAAAUACUUUUAGUGGAGAGAAAACUCAUCAUUGGUUCCAUUAUACAAUCUUGUGGCUAACAAGUGAUUAGAGGGCAGAGGGCAGGGCAAGAAAGAGAUGUUUGAGAGUAGUCACCAUAAAUCCCUAAGAAAGGAGGAGGUCCCUGGAGAGCAGCCACAGAUGAUGGGGGGUGGGGGGAGGAGUAAGUCAGAAAGUGGCUAAGGUGGGGCUGGGGGAGGGACAUGCCCAACAGCGCAGAUAGGAGCCGUCCAUCCUUUAGUCCCUCUGUGAGCAAUAGCCCCCUUACUAAGUCACAUGUCAAAAUAUGUGCAUUUGAAAAUAACACUGAAGAGGAUUUCUAAUUGUAGUCUGUUUUUAUGCUUAAGUAUAGUUUGCUUUUCUCCCAGUUGUUAUCUUUCAUAACAUAAAUAGUGAGAAAAGGAUUUACACUGAUAAUACAAAGAGGCUUGCGUAAAAGUGUUAAGAAUCACAAAAAUAAACUAAGUUAGAAAUCUUUCAUUCAUUUGAAGCUGAAUAGAUGGUAAUUAACUGAUCAAGAUAAGAAUUAUAAAAUUUGGCACCUGACUCUUUGGGAUGUAACUUCAUGUCUUAUUAGUGGGAUCCAGAUGGGGACCUGACAAGCAAAAAGUCCCUCUAAAAUUGAUCUAGAUUUUUAGCCCAUCAGCUUUCCUCUGGAAAAACCACCUGUGAAACAAGAAAACUUAAACAUUGCUGGGCUGCCUGGGUGGCUCAGUCAGUUGGGCAUCCAACUCCUGAUUUGGGAUCAGGUCAUGAUCUCAAGUUUGUGAGAUUUAGCCCUGAGUUGGGCUCUGCACCGGGCAUAGAGUUGCUUACGAUUCUCUCUCUCUCUCCCUCUUGUCAGAGAGGGAGGGAGGGAGGGAGGAAGGGAAAAAAGCAUGGCUAUGAAAGGGGUCUAUUGCAAUCUAUGUCUAAGUUUGCUGGGAGUCAACAGGGAAGCAAUGAAAGGCUCCACCAGGAUGUGCUCUGUUUAUGCAAUUCAGAACUCCAAAAGCAAACAGGUUUCAGUUGCUGAUGGCAGCAACCCACAUAUCACGGGGAAGUGAUAUAGAGAAGCAGAGGUAGCACCAUCUGUGUUUGGUCCAGCUGACCUGGGCUGGAAUCCCAGCUUGGUCAUUUAACUGGAAAAUGACCUUGGAUGAGUUCUUGACAUCUUUGAGCUAUACCCGCCCUAACAUGUGAAAUGGAGAUGAUACUUACAGGGUUGUGAGGAUUAAAAUAAAGACAUAUGCAAUCUUCAACACUAGAGGCUGCCAUAUAAAGAGGAAUCGUUUCUUGGCCAGUCUUUAGUGUUGCAAUUCAUUCAGUCAUUGUGCUAGAAUUUUUUUUCUAUAUAAAGAGGGAGAGGAAAUAAGGGAAGGAGAGAGAGAAAGAAAUUGGAGAUACAGAUAGAUACAGAUGGAGGAAGGAGAGGUAGAGGAAUAAGGAAGAGGGAGGAGGAACAGAGAAGGAAGGAGGAGAAGUGGAGAAAGGAGAAGGAGAAAAGAAUAUAUCAACUGAUUACAAUAAUCUGAGAACUUGCCUUACCUUUCUCAGAGAAAUAACACAAAUGUAAUCCAACCUACCCAUCUCCCCAAGUACUGAAAUGACUAAACCAAACACCAGUUUGCACACACCUUUUGAAUUGUGACUGUAAACCGGUGAUUGACAUUUGCUGUACUCCGAAAGGCUAGAGAAUUUACCUCUGCUUUAAGAUUCAUUUCAGGCCAGCUGAAACUGAGGACUGAAGCAGUUAACCAGAUAGUUUCGGCACAAACAGGCAUAUUCUCUGGCCUCCAUGUGGUUUCACUUGGAUUUGUUGAAUACUGGGCCAUCACAUUUGGAAUCACCUGGUCAACAUGAGUUACACUCACUGGAAUUCCUAGGGAUAUGUUUUAUAAUCAAGAUGGAAUUCUGAGAAAACCUUCCUGUAAAAUGAAUGGAAAACUAGCUUAACUUGAGUAGAAAUCUAAAUACCAAUAUAAAAGAACUCUUAAAAAUUCUAGUCACUGUUUCCUGUAAAUGAAUAUUUGCAAGUUAGUAAUAGCCUACUAUGAAUUUAUCUAUUAAUGAGGUUCAGUCAUGAAAUUCUUUGUGGAAAAGGUAGUACAGCAGUGUUCACCUUCAGACUAGCUUGGGAGAGACUCUUUUAGAUGGAGAAAAACAACUUUAUUUGCAGAUUGCAAGCAAAUUUUGUUACCAUAUUUGUGGAGGGAAACCGAAUUCUUCAAAAGCAACUCAAAUGUAGUUAUUAGACUAUUUCCAACCAAGUCAAGCAAUAUGCCUCUAUGACAAUUCAGGGAGCAGUCUACACUGGGAAGGCAACAAAACCGGUUACUUUGAAGAUUUAGGUACUUAGUCUGUGUCUCUAGCUAUUUAAUCUCUGAGCUUCAAGAGUUUCUUUUUGUGAAAUCCAGCAAAACAUAUUUCUUUCCUAUAGUAAUAUACUUUUAAAUAACUAAGACUGUUAUGCAAAUUCAACAUAAAUAUAUGACAAACUACUAUUGCUUCCUACUACUUUAAUCCUUUGAGCUUGUUUACAUGUUAGCUUUUAGGAUAUUUCACCCUCUGGAGAACUAAUUCCCAAGUAGGCAUAAGAUUUCCAGAGUACAAAUCAAACCUUCAACACUGCUACAUCAAAACAGCAGCAGUAGAAACUGCAACGGCCUACAGUCAUUUCUGACUGGGUCAAGAUGACACAGUGCCAGUGUGAAUGUCAACUCAGCACCAGCAUCAAAAUGCCAGGACCAAUAUGAUGAUACCAGUGUCAAAAGGACAGCAAAUAUAUGGCAAAACUGGCACUAAUGUUAUUUUCAUACUUAAAAAAAAAUUACCCUAAAAUCUAAGGUUUGGUCAUAUUCUUCAUUUACUUUAGCCUGCAAAACACUAUUUUUGGAGUAUUUCACAUAAAUUUACUGAGCUCUUAAAAUAAUUCUAUGAGACUUUUUUUUUCCUCAUUCUAUCCAGUGGCUGUAUUUUUUAAACUGGUAUGUAUAAAUUUAAUUUUUAUCAGUUACAGUUUAAACAAUUGAGAAGAGGUUGAGUGUUAAAGGAAUUCCAAGGAGAAUCUUUUAAUAAACCACAGGCUUCUGGUAUUUAAAAAAAAAAAAAAAAAAAAAG
rnacentral:lncRNA from 1 species